UGGGGAAUUUUGGACAAUGGGCGAAAGCCUGAUCCAGCCAUGCCGCGUGAGUGAAGAAGGCCUUCGGGUUGUAAAGCUCUUUUAGUCGGAAAGAAAGAGUUGCAAUGAAUAAUUGUGAUUUAUGACGGUACCGACAGAAAAAGCACCGGCUAACUACGUGCCAGCAGCCGCGGUAAUACGUAGGGUGCGAGCGUUAAUCGGAAUUACUGGGCGUAAAGGGUGCGCAGGCGGUCUUGCAAGUCAGAUGUGAAAGCCCCGGGCUUAACCUGGGAAUUGCGUUUGAGACUACAAGACUAGAGUGCAGGAGAGGGGAGUGGAAUUCCAUGUGUAGCAGUGAAAUGCGUAGAGAUGUGGAAGAACACCCAUGGCGAAGGCAGCUCCCUGGGUUGACACUGACGCUCAUGCACGAAAGCGUGGGGAGCAAACA
rnacentral:rRNA from 1 species